CGCGACCUCACCAGAACACGUUCAGAAGUUCGACCUAAAAUUCAGUUUCCUCAAUCACACGUCGAUCGUUCUCAUGGAAAACCGGCACGCUUAACUCAAAUUCCCAAAGCUCAUCAUCGAAUGAACAUGACGCUCUUCACUGUAACCCUGAGAUUCUCCGUUUGUCUCUCACGAAAACAAUAACAGAAUCCACCUACUCACGGUACACCGUUCUUACCACUCGAAUCCGCUCAUGGUCACCAAUAAAAGGAAUCCAUGUUUGGUGUUGUUGACGAUGAACAAUGACGUUGUGAUGAUGAUGUCGAAGAAGACGCUUCUCGACGCGUUCUUGGCCAUUCCCGACUUCUUCUUUCGGUGAUUUCCUUACUCUUUUGGAUUCACUUCCUUUCGGUUGGUUUUACACUCUCCUUCUUCUUCUGGUUUUCUUACAGGUCAUGAUGCGGAAUGGAACUCUCUGCAGGGGCUUGAGGAAUUUCAUAAUCCAUCCUUGAAGACUCAGAACGAAGAAUUGGCGGUUGCAACAGCGCAUAAGCAGAAAAGCUGGAAAAAGCCAAAGAGUUCGUUUUGUGCAUAUUGGUAUCUGGUAGUGCUCUACACCGUUACAACCGUGCGCGAGUGUUUCCAGGCUUCUUCAUUCAUUCGUUACGGUGGGUUAGACCACCUUCGCAUAAUCAGUUUCAACAAUGCGGCGACCAAAAUCGGUCGUUGUGGCAAUCAUGGUGUGUGAAGUUUGAGAACGGUUGCAGGUGAAGAAGAAGAUUAGAGGGAAGAGAAGAUUGGAUCAAGGAGGAGAAAGGUGAGGGCACAUUAGUGAUUGAAGUUCAUUUGUUGUUAUGCCACCGACUAGUUUUUGAACCGAAGUGAAGAAGGAUGCAGUGUUAAUUCCACACUUAUGUUGGUUC